UGGGGAAUAUUGCACAAUGGGGGAAACCCUGAUGCAGCGACGCCGCGUGAACGAAGAAGGUAUUCGUAUCGUAAAGUUCUGUCCUAUGGGAAGAUAAUGACAGUACCAUAGAAGAAAGCUCCGGCUAAAUACGUGCCAGCAGCCGCGGUAAUACGUAUGGAGCGAGCGUUGUCCGGAAUUAUUGGGCGUAAAGGGUACGCAGGCGGUUGAAUAAGUCGAAUGUUAAAGAUCGGGGCUCAACCCCGCAAAGCAUUGGAAACUGAUAAACUUGAGUAGUGGAGAGGAAAGUGGAAUUCCUAGUGUAGUGGUGAAGUACGUAGAUAUUAGGAGGAAUACCAGUAGCGAAGGCGACUUUCUGGACACAAACUGACGCUGAGGUACGAAAGCGUGGGGAGCAAACAGG
rnacentral:rRNA from 1 species